GUGACCUCAAAUCAGGUAGGACUACCCGCUGAACUUA
rnacentral:rRNA from 3 species